AGAGUUUGAUCAUGGCUCAGAUUGAACGCUGGCGGCAGGCCUAACACAUGCAAGUCGAGCGGUAGCACAGAGAGCUUGCUCUCGGGUGACGAGCGGCGGACGGGUGAGUAAUGUCUGGGAAACUGCCUGAUGGAGGGGGAUAACUACUGGAAACGGUAGCUAAUACCGCAUAACGUCGCAAGACCAAAGUGGGGGACCUUCGGGCCUCAUGCCAUCAGAUGUGCCCAGAUGGGAUUAGCUAGUAGGUGGGGUAAUGGCUCACCUAGGCGACGAUCCCUAGCUGGUCUGAGAGGAUGACCAGCCACACUGGAACUGAGACACGGUCCAGACUCCUACGGGAGGCAGCAGUGGGGAAUAUUGCACAAUGGGCGCAAGCCUGAUGCAGCCAUGCCGCGUGUAUGAAGAAGGCCUUCGGGUUGUAAAGUACUUUCAGCGAGGAGGAAGGCAUUAAGGUUAAUAACCUUGGUGAUUGACGUUACUCGCAGAAGAAGCACCGGCUAACUCCGUGCCAGCAGCCGCGGUAAUACGGAGGGUGCAAGCGUUAAUCGGAAUUACUGGGCGUAAAGCGCACGCAGGCGGUCUGUCAAGUCGGAUGUGAAAUCCCCGGGCUCAACCUGGGAACUGCAUUCGAAACUGGCAGGCUAGAGUCUUGUAGAGGGGGGUAGAAUUCCAGGUGUAGCGGUGAAAUGCGUAGAGAUCUGGAGGAAUACCGGUGGCGAAGGCGGCCCCCUGGACAAAGACUGACGCUCAGGUGCGAAAGCGUGGGGAGCAAACAGGAUUAGAUACCCUGGUAGUCCACGCCGUAAACGAUGUCGACUUGGAGGUUGUGCCCUUGAGGCGUGGCUUCCGGAGCUAACGCGUUAAGUCGACCGCCUGGGGAGUACGGCCGCAAGGUUAAAACUCAAAUGAAUUGACGGGGGCCCGCACAAGCGGUGGAGCAUGUGGUUUAAUUCGAUGCAACGCGAAGAACCUUACCUACUCUUGACAUCCAGAGAACUUAGCAGAGAUGCUUUGGUGCCUUCGGGAACUCUGAGACAGGUGCUGCAUGGCUGUCGUCAGCUCGUGUUGUGAAAUGUUGGGUUAAGUCCCGCAACGAGCGCAACCCUUAUCCUUUGUUGCCAGCGAUUCGGUCGGGAACUCAAAGGAGACUGCCAGUGAUAAACUGGAGGAAGGUGGGGAUGACGUCAAGUCAUCAUGGCCCUUACGAGUAGGGCUACACACGUGCUACAAUGGCAUAUACAAAGAGAAGCGACCUCGCGAGAGCAAGCGGACCUCAUAAAGUAUGUCGUAGUCCGGAUUGGAGUCUGCAACUCGACUCCAUGAAGUCGGAAUCGCUAGUAAUCGUAGAUCAGAAUGCUACGGUGAAUACGUUCCCGGGCCUUGUACACACCGCCCGUCACACCAUGGGAGUGGGUUGCAAAAGAAGUAGGUAGCUUAACCUUCGGGAGGGCGCUUACCACUUUGUGAUUCAUGACUGGGGUGAAGUCGUAACAAGGUAACCGUAGGGGAACCUGCGGUUGGAUCACCU
rnacentral:rRNA from 2 species